GGAAUCCAACGUCUGAGAUUAAGAUGUUAGAAGCCGCUUCCAACUCGUCUGAGAUUAAGAUGCUGCUUCAACGGGCAACAUCAGCGACCGAAACCUGUUGUACGCGAAAAAAAACAAAAAAAAAAGCGCCCAGCCACCUACUCCGUCAAUGCAAAAAAAAAAGAAACAAAAAAAACUGCUGCUCGAACGCCGCCAACCAGUAGAUCGAUCUCCUGCCGGCCCUCGCCCAGACCCCCAACGACGUUGAUACGGUUCUCGGUGAGCGAGGGUCGGCUACGGCACCUGGCCGGGGGCUAGGGUUGCACAGGGUGACGUUUGUGCGGAUCUCGGCAGCGACACAGGCGGUCAUGAUCCAGCCUUAAUUCCUCCCCGCGCUUCUUCUCCUUGAUGGCUGGGAGCCUGGGACCAACCCGGCCUCCCCGUACGGCCGCAUUGCCAUCGCCGCCAGUCUCAUCGUUGUGAAAUGGGAUCUGCAGAACUAUCUCUGCCGCCAGGGAUGCCGUCAUGCUGCUCCACGUGCGCCCCACCUCCAUCCGCUGCGUCGUCGAUUGGGGCUCCAUCCCGUCCUCCAUCGUUGACGAGGCUGACGCUGCCGAGGACGCCGCCACCACUGCCACCGUCGAGGGCGGCCCCUCGGAGGAGUUGCAGGAGAGAAGUCGUGCACCGGGUCUGCCCCUUCUCUUUUUCUUAACUAUACAUUUUUACUUUAUUAAUGUUUUUUUUUGAACAUGUUUUACUUUAUAUUAAUGUGGAUUGACGAUUUUCCUAUGUAGCUUUUUGUGCAACUGACUUAGUACGUAAGUUUCUGAUGUGGAGGACAAAUGUUAGUACAUGACAGUUGAUUCAGUAUUUCAGUAAGAAACUUCCUCCAGUUAUUUCAUUACUUGUUAAUCUUUGAUCUUUUGUAAAAACUUGUAGCGUCAACAACAAGCUGAUAGCGUGGUUUGUUUCAUGGUACUACUGCCCUUCAGGCUUAUUUAAAGACCCAUAUAUCUUUUUUGGGCAGACAUUAGUUUACGUUAAAUCAGUUAACUUGCGUCAGGCUCUUGUAAACUGUGAAGAAUACCUGAUAGCAUCUGCAAAUGUACAUGAAAGUAGGGUGAAAUACAUCUGCUGCUGCAGAUUGCAUAUCUUCACCGUUGAUAUUGCAUUUUUAUUCAUUAUUGUUUAAUUCAAGAAUAUGCAAUGCAACUUUUCUAUGUAUUAUAAUAGAGAUUUGCUCGGUUAGUAUUUAGAGUAAACACAAGAAAUUAAUAUUCAAGUGAACUUUGCUAAUCAGAAUUAUAAUAUAACGUUGCAUGUGGCUUUCUUAUGCAGGGGUUGGGGGUGUUAAAUUCUCAGUCAUCUGUGCUUUGCCAUCUGUGCUUUGCCAUAAUAUAACGUAUAUAGUGUUUGCAGGGGGCAUGCUACAAAACUUUUGAUGUGCCCUUACUACUGUGCCUUAACAGAUUGUUGCAUUUGUCUUGACAGUACUCUUUAUUUUCUUUCCUCCUGUCUGAAAUCUGGAUGUUUUUCCCUACGUUAGGAAUGUGCUAUUUCUGUAUAAUGCUGGCACAACAAUGAAACAGAAUUUUAAUAUAGGGAAGAUAAAAAAUAUUAAAAGCUGCUUGCUUAUAUUUUUUAACCAUCAAUCAUGAUUUUUUUCUUUCCACCUAUCUGGAUGUUUUUGCAAAUACAGAAACUUGUGUCUACUAAAAAUGUUCUAUUGUCGACGACAUGGAAAAUCUAGGUCCUGGAGUUCCUCUUCCAACUAGAGGAAGAAGAGGUUGAGUAGAUCCUACACUCUCAACAGUGGCAAGUUUUUAAUAGCGUGACUCGCCUCCAUCUUCAACCAGUGGCACAAAGUUCAUGUGAGCUAGGACUCAGUCUUAUUGGCCAAGGCUUUAGGAUUGGCGGAGAGGCUAUUGCCAAUUUGCACUGAACUGAAUUUUGCUGAUGUUGGACUCAAUGACCUGCUCAUCAGUUCCUAUGGCUGGGCAAUUUUGCCCACUUCCUAUGAUCUGUGCACCAGUACCAGCUCAUAUAGUGGGAUGUUCAGAUGGACCACUUUUUAUAUAUAAAAAGGCAUAUAGAUUAGAUUUGACAAGCACAAGACACAUAGUAUUAAGCAUCAGACAUUCCAGAGCUGAAGACCUGUAGUAAAUUUUAUGAAAUUUCUUCAAUUCUGCUGCCUGAAGAUGAUUUCUUUUCGACCACUUGUCUGAAGAUUUAUCUAGGAGAUAAUUGUACAGAGAGAGAUACUUUUCAAGAGCUGUAGUUCAGCGGAUAGCUUGAACUUCAUCUAAAAUUCAUUAUGAAAGUUUACCUUGUGGCAAAUAUGUCUA